AUGGUAUUUAUCACAAACCCCAGACUGGUUUUGGUUGGAAUGAACUUUAAAGCUCAUCCAGUUCCAGCCUCCUGCCAGAGGCAGGAACACCUUCCACUAGAGCAGGUUGCUCACUUGCUUUGGCAGAAGGAUCACUGAAAGACUCUGAACUACAGCUUUUAAAUUCUGGUUAUAAUUUUACAUGCUCAAAAUUAUCAAGGCACCAUUGAGACAACAUGCUUAGGCCCUCCUGACUCAGAACAAUUGACUGACUUCAAGGACAUAGUUAUCCGAUUGUGUGGCCAAAGCCCACAGGCAGUUCUCAGGCUCUUGUCAAAGCUGAGAGAACAUGGAGCUGGGACAGAAAAUUAAUAAGGGUCAGUCAUAUCUGCUACAGCUUAAUAAAAUGAAAUAAUAAGUAAUUAUAAAUAAUAGCCAAGGUGCCAGAGAGUUCAAAAAUACGUAGGCCUGGACUUCAAAUUGUGAAUUGUUAAAAAAUAAGUUCCUUAAUCAGUUCCCCUGGGCUUCUUCACUAACAGUGCAUGUAUGUACAUGAAGAAAGCAGCAAAGCACAUCUGGAGCUCCUGGAAGCAAUCUCAUUCAUCUCUACAGCCUCCUUUGUUCAGUUUCACUGGGCUUCACACCUACAUGACUUGGAUCCAUGCUCAUUACACCUGUAUUUACCUUACACAGCUUGGGUGUAACAAAUAUCAGGAUGAACAAAACCAGAAUUAACUCUCAAGAACCCCUGCAUCUUAGAACCCUGACUCAGGCAAACAGAUCCACAAGCUUUAAGAAUAUUAUUUUGUCACUGUCCCAGUUCCUUCAAAUCAAUUCUUUCAUACAUGUGCCUCACAGUCACUGUUGAUUUUAACCCUCUGUAGGUGGUUAUCUUCUGUUCUUUACUGAGGCAGCUCCUCUGAUAGCAUGACAAAAAUUAGAACAUGAGGGAAUUCUUUUAAAGGACCAUCUCUUCUGCAGAUGUAAACACAGUAUUCAUAAAUGCACUUUCAUGGAAAAUUAAGAUUGUUAGAGAUAAUUAUAAGUUGAGCACACCCUUCCCUCCCUGUUAGUUCCCCCAACUCUGUUUUACCUAAUGACACUCGGGCAGGCACAGCUGACUGACUGAUCCAGAAGGACACCCACGACAUGGCCACGAGUAAGAUAGAAGGAACGUAAGAUUGAAUGAUGUAAACUCCUCGAUUUCGACGAAGGUGGAAGUGGAGACUGAGCCUGGGAAACUGACCUGCUGAAAAAAGGAGCACAGAGACACUGUGUGAACUACAGUUAGGCUGAUACUCAAAAUAACAUCUCCUAUAAUGACACAGAUCUACAUUCUUAAACAUCUUUUGGACAAAGAUCACAAGAAGUUUUUUCAAAUGCUGUUCAACGAGGUUUCAUAAACCCUGCAUGAGGUACUGCAGUUCUCAUCAGCUAAGAACAGGUGAAAUGGUUUGUCUCAGGUCAUAUCAAUACCUGAUCUGAAAAUGAGUCUUCUCAACUAACAGUAUAGUUCCAAAAUGUUGUAGUGUCCUAUCAUCUGCUGUAGAAAGUCCUCCAGAUGCUAAAUUUAAAUUUUUUAAAAGUCCAAGUUAAUUUCAAACUCAGAAAAUUGCUUAGAGAUGUGCAGCAUAAAUGAGAAUCUGAAUACAUGAAAGAGGAUGAAGAAUCAGCAGGAAAGAAAUUACUCCAAUCUUAUACAAACAUUGCAAUAAACCCAGUGCUACGCAUACACA